UACGGAGGGUGCGAGCGUUAUUCGGAAUUACUGGGCGUAAAGCGCGUGUAGGCGGGGAGGCAAGUCUGAUGUGAAAGCCCCGGGCUUAACCUGGGAAGUGCAUUGGAAACUGCUUUUCUUGAGUGCUGGAGAGGAAGGGGGAAUUCCCGGUGUAGAGGUGAAAUUCGUAGAGAUCGGGAGGAAUACCAGUGGCGAAGGCGCCCUUCUGGACGGCAACUGACGAUGAGACGCGAAAGCGUGGGGAGCAAACAGG
rnacentral:rRNA from 1 species